UGUUUCGGCUAGGGGGUCAUCCCGACUUACCAACCCGAUGCAAACUGCGAAUACCGAAGAAUGUUAUCACGGGAGACACACGGCGGGUGCUAACGUCCGUCGUGAAGAGGGAAACAACCCAGACCGCCAGCUAAGGUCCCAAAGUCAUGGUUAAGUGGGAAACGAUGUGGGAAGGCACAGACAGCCAGGAUGUUGGCUUAGAAGCAGCCAUCAUUUAAAGAAAGCGUAAUAGCUCACUGGUCGAGUCGGCCUGCGCGGAAGAUGUAACGGGGCUAAACCAUGCACCGAAGCUGCGGCAGCGACACUAUGUGUUGUUGGGUAGGGGAGCGUUCUGUAAGCCGUUGAAGGUGUAUCGUGAGGUAUGCUGGAGGUAUCAGAAGUGCGAAUGCUGACAUAAGUAACGAUAAUGCGGGUGAAAAACCCGCACGCCGGAAGACCAAGGGUUCCUGUCCAACGUUAAUCGGGGCAGGGUGAGUCGACCCCUAAGGCGAGGCCGAAAGGCGUAGUCGAUGGGAAACAGGUUAAUAUUCCU
rnacentral:rRNA from 1 species